rnacentral:rRNA from 1 species
GGAGGGAUCAUUAGGAGGUUAGCAAACGUCCAGUUUGACAAACCACUGUGGUACGAUGCAUGUUGUUUUGGCGGCGUGGUGUGCGUGCAAGCGCGCAUGCGCCGCCAGCAUACAAACCCAAUCAACCAAUUUAUACUACUCAGCUGUUCUGAUUACACUAUUUCGAUAGCAUAAUCCUAUACAACUGCUAGCAACGGAUCACUCGGCUCUCGCGUCGAUGAAGAACGUAACAAAAUGCCAAAAUUAAUGCAACACGCAACACGUGAGUCAUCGAGUCUUUGAACGCAUAUUGCACCCGACAGGCUCGCUUGUCGGGUCUGCCUGUUUGAGUAUCAGUUUAACCCCAACAGCCGGCGGCGCUUGUGUAAAAGCAGGCGCCGGCAGCUUGUUGGUGCUCGCGGCGCGCAUCCGUGCGUGCGGCGGAUCUGGGGCUUCGGGGUUUCGCGCCCUGUGUCCUGAAAUGCAUUGGCCGACCGGCGCAUCAACUUUAGUGUUGUGCUUGGACCGAACCGAUUAGCAAUGUUAAUCAUCUGCAAAGGUGUCUUUGUUAACGCGGCGCGGUUAUUCCAAACAAGUGCAGCCAGAUGUCCACGCGUGCCACCCUGCACGCUGGCUGCCCUGUGGCGGCGAGCGUACACCUUCAAACCUUGAUCUCAAAUCAGGCAGGAUGACCCGCUGAAUUUAAGCAUAUCAAAAAUCGGGAAGGAAA